GGGAGGGUAUUCUAGUGUGGGACACGUAGAGAGAGAGAGUGAAGGAGCUGUUGGGGGAGGCUUGAGCAGCAAGAAGCCAGAGGGAGCUAGAGGAAGAAACCGGAGCAGAGAAGAAGGGGAAAGGUGGAAGGAAGCGUGUGAGAGAAAGGAGCACCGGGGGAAAGAGAGGAGAAAGGAUUCAUCAGCCUGCAUUUUCCUGGAGUCCUAAGUUUUUCCCGUCUUUGGUGGAAUGGAUCACAAGAAUACCGUGAUUUGGACUGCGUCGAUGGGUCGGUUGCUACAGGAUUUGUGGAGGAUGAAACUGAGGCUCCAGACGAUGAAAAUGAGUUUGUGAGGGCACUUGUUCUUCUAUAAUUGAUUCCUGGAAUUCUGAGUUGAGAAAGAGCUACAGAUUUUUUUUUUCUUAGCACAAGGAAGCCACUAAUAAGGGGUAUUAUGUUAAGGAUGUGAAUGGGGAGAUUAUGAUGGUCUGAGAAGUUCUCUUAUCAAGAACCAUGUUGGAUCAACUCUUUGGUUGUACAUUUGUAAUGACAUGAAUGGGCCUUCUGUCUUUAAUGGCCCAGAGGUGACAAUGCCUCGAGAUGCUUUAUAUUAUGGAGGUGUAGGGCACAGAGAGCCACAUAAUGCCCAUAGUUGUUACUUUCAUAUGGCCACAUCCAAUGGGUUUGUAAAGCGUGGAGAUGGAAAGGAUCGACCUUUUGUUUUGUCAAGAGCAUUCUUUUCUGGAAGUCGAAGAUGUUGGUGGGUUUUUAGGGCAAUCCUGAGACAGAGCUGUUGGUACGCUGGUAUCAACUAGGUGCCAACUAUCCUUCUUUUAGGUGCUAUCCUCGUCACGACACAAAGAGACGAGUCUUGCCAUCCCCUGCUUCUCAACCUACAUUUUCAGAUCAUGGAGAGAUGAAAUUUGAAAUGUCAAAUGCAAGGAGGGUCCCACAAGCUUUCAAAUUUGACACUGCAUGCAAAACAUACGUAGAUGUGAUUGGGAAUGCAUGGCCACCUUUUCCUGCAUGCGCGUGCUUCCUCUCCUCUUACAGCCACUCUUCACUCACCCAAUCUGAUCGCCAUGAGAACUUUUCCCAUGUUUGGUGCUCAUAAAUGCAGAUGCAAGAGUGCCUUUCUCACUCCUCACACCAAUUUCAAUUUCACUACACUUGUGCUUUAUAUUUAUUUUAUUGAAUCUUCUAUAGUAAUUUUAUUUUAUUA